CUGGUUUUAGGCACCUCGCAUCCAAGAUACACUUUCAGUCUUGCCAAGGCCCAUCUGGACUCUGCCAUCGACUCAUGGAUCCACAGGACGGCGGUCAUUGUCAGGGAGAGCGGCUCUGGCUCUGGCUCUGGCUUGCUCUGCUAUUGACUUCUGCGUCUGUUGCUGUAACAGGUUCGAACUGUACAUGUCAGGGUCCUGUACAAGGAUCUUGCGGCUAUCAGAGAAACGAUUCUCGAGACAAUCUCUACAAUACACGAAAUGUAGCGCUAGGCAAACCGGCAAGAGCGAGUUCAUUGUUCAACAGUACACGGUUUAAUGCGGUCUCUGGUCCCGCUUGUCUGGCUGUAAAUGGUGACAGAAACACAGGAUUCGCACCUUGUAACGAUUUUCCUCACAAUCCUAGCUGUAUGCACACUGCAGAAGACGACCGUGAACCCUACUGGGAGGUUGACCUGUGUGACCUGUAUAAUAUAGCAAGCAUCACCGUCUACUGGAGAGAUUCAGAAUUUCAACGCAAUGUUGACGUCAAAGUAACCGUUGAUGGAGAGCUGUGUUACAUCUUCGAACAUCCACUUUCUAAUCCCUCAACAAUAACCUGUUAUCAGAGACUUUCUGGACAGGUCGUUAGGUUGUCAAAAACUGACUACACGACUAGAAAUAACUACUAUCUCACUUUGUGUGAAGUUGAAGUGACGGGUUCCAUGUUGACAGGCUCUGUCGUGAAUCAGCAUAGUGACAUGCGAGUUCUGUCAUAAAUGGUUAUCCCCAGUGCAAGACAUUAAUUUUAAGAAUCAUUUGUGCAUUUCAUUUUCUUUCUACUCUUUUAUUUACUUGAUUUCGCCACAGAUUAUGGAGCAGUCUCAAUUCCAAAUUUAGCGAAAACGCCCAGGAGUACACGCUCUAAAACAGAAUGAGGUCGACAUCAGAACACCGUAGACGAAAUAAAUCUUGGAAAAAACCCUCCCUCCGACAAGAAAAAGUUUGUCAUUCUGUUGUUAAGGUUGAUGAUCACAAAUUUGCAGGGUCUUGGAAGUUUCUUUCUUAUCAUGCCGCAUAUGUAACAGCUCUUUUUAAAUGAAUGGUGUGUGUGUGUGUCUGUGUGUGUGUGUGUGUGUGUGUGUGUGUGUGUGUGUGUGUGUGUGUGUGUGUGUGUGUGUGUGUGUGUGUGUGUUUGUGUGCGUGUAUUUGGCGGGGGGAUGCUUUUAAGACCACCAGGAGGAUUCUAAUACAAUACUGUAGCCGAUGAAGGUCUGUUGACAGAGUUCAGUCGUGAAACUUUCAACCUUCGGCAGCUCAAGCAGCUCCAAAACCUGGAAGUAGUCAUGGGGAAACAUAUCAAGUCAGCAUCCGAUGCUAGAUGCUCAACCUGAGGAGAUGUGACAGAAUUGUCUGCUGAAUGGACCAACCAUACAAUGUUUGCUUUCUGAAGUCCGGUCAUUAUGAAGCCAGAAAAUCUUUUGGCAAGCUUUAGAAAACAGUAAAUCAAGUGCAUUUUAUUCUUUCUUGGACCUGC